UUAAGCAUAUCAAUAAGCGGAGGAAAAGAAACCAACAGGGAUUGCCCUAGUAACGGCGAGUGAAGCGGCAACAGCUCAAAUUUGAAAUCUGGCCUUCGGGUCCGAGUUGUAAUUUGUAGAGGAUGCUUUUGGCGCGGUGCCUUCCGAGUUCCCUGGAACGGGACGCCUUAGAGGGUGAGAGCCCCGUACGGUUGGACACCAAGCCUCUGUAAAGCUCCUUCGACGAGUCGAGUAGUUUGGGAAUGCUGCUCUAAAUGGGAGGUAAAUUUCUUCUAAAGCUAAAUACCGGCCAGAGACCGAUAGCGCACAAGUAGAGUGAUCGAAAGAUGAAAAGCACUUUGAAAAGAGGGUUAAAUAGCACGUGAAAUUGUUGAAAGGGAAGCGUUUACGGCCAGACCUUUUCCUGGCGGAUCAUCUGGUGUUCUCACCAGUGCACUCCGCCAGGUUUAGGCCAGCAUCGGCUCCCGUAGGGGGAUAAAAGCAGUGGGAAAGUAGCUCCCUCGGGAGUGUUAUAGCCCGCUGCACAAUACCCUUACAGGGGCCGAGGACCGCGCUCUUGCAAGGAUGCUGGCGUAAUGGUCGUCAACGACC
rnacentral:rRNA from 1 species